AGGUAACGGCUUACCAAGGCGACGAUCAGUAGCCGACCUGAGAGGGUGAUCGGCCACAUUGGAACUGAGACACGGUCCAAACUCCUACGGGAGGCAGCAGUGGGGAAUAUUGCACAAUGGGCGAAAGCCUGAUGCAGCGACGCCGCGUGGAGGAAGAAGGUCUUCGGGUCGUAAAGCUCUGUCCUCAAGGAAGAUAAUGACGGUACUUGAGGAGGAAGCCCCGGCUAACUAC
rnacentral:rRNA from 1 species